rnacentral:lncRNA from 1 species
UGUGAGGAGAUUCCCUUUCAGACAACUUUGCUGAAAGCAGCUUGGAAAUUCGGUGUCGAAGGGUCUGCCACGUUUUCAUGCUUGCAUUUUGGGCUCCAAAUUGGCACUGGGAAGGGGUUACUGAGAGCACAAGGCUGAUACCAGGCCCUACUUUUAAACGUUCAUCUACUUACAAUCCUAGUAUUUCUCUAAAAACCAAAACCUCUUUGAAUUAACAGUUUCAUGCUGUGAAUUUCUAGUGGGAGAUCUUUUCCUUGAUAUUGACGACACAAUUUUCCAUGUACUUUUAAAGCAGGGAGUGGGGAAAAGUAUUUUGAGGGGACAUUUUCAUCAUCAGUUCAGCUUUUUUUUUUUGGUUGUUGCUCUUUUUUGGGGGGGUUGGGUUUGUUGGUUUCACUGAAACAUUUAACUACCUGUAAAAUCUAAACAUGGCUGUUAGUGUCACACCAAUUCGGGACACAAAAUGGCUAACACUGGAAGUAUGUAGAGAGUUCCAGAGGGGGACUUGCUCACGGCCAGACACGGAAUGUAAAUUUGCACAUCCUUCGAAAAGCUGCCAAGUUGAAAAUGGACGAGUAAUCGCCUGCUUUGAUUCAUUGAAAACAGUUGAUGGUGCACUCGUAGCUGCAAAAUGAAGGACAUUAAAUUUGGCUGUGACAUUGAGUGGUUACACAGAAGACCUGCUUCUACAACAUUUGGAAACAUUGUGAAACAUUACUAUUCAGUUGCUAUUUUUCCAUCUCAAAAUAUUUUUUUUUAGUUGCUGCUCACUUAUGGCCACAGAACAGUCCCUUUUUGAGUAAAGCAGCAAGGUUGCUUAAUGACAUGCUAUGUGGUUAACAAGAUUCAACUGCCACAUCAAGGACUUUAAAUAAUUUCAAGAUUUUAAAUGUAUUUAUGAAAUGAACUCAUUACAGCAGCUAAUCAAUGCAAACUUUGUCCUUUUUCUUUGUCUUUCUAAGAGAAACUGAAUUUAAUUUAAAUUUAAAUUACAGUGUCUAAAACUUGGUAAAAUAUUUUAAAUUUGAAU